rnacentral:lncRNA from 1 species
AAGAUAAUAACAGAAGAGACUAAUUUGCAGAUAAACAAUAUACAAUUAGAAUUUACAAAUGCUAAUCCCAAUUUAUUUAAAUUUGAAUGACAAGCAUACUAACAAGUUGUCAAACAGAAUUAUAAGCAAAAUAUAUAUGUAUAUAUUUUAAUGGAUUAGCACCGUCAGAUUUAAUCACAAUCAGAUAGGAAUACGCCUUAGUUUGUUGGAACAAAUACCGCAACGAAAAUCUUAUUGUGAUUAAAAUCUAACUAAUUUGUAAUAAAGAUAAAUAAAUCAACUUACAGAUGACGCAAAUAUUCCAAUAAAGAUUUGAUCUUAUUCGGAAGCGUGCGAGGCACUGUCCUAAGGCGUAUUCCCGUCCUUACGUGCAGGAUUAAUCGAAAAUAACACCCUCAAUGUACGACCGGAAUUCCUUCUCCUGCGAGCAUGAUCGUAAAGAAUGUUGACGAAAUUCUCAACACCCAGUGGAUAAAAAAUGGAAUAUUCAAAAAUAAGGAUUAAUCAAUUAUCUAAUAUUUUUUUACCUACUCUGUUUUAUUCUAUCUAAAAAUAGAGGAGGAAAAGAGGAAGGAGAUUUAAUUCCCUUCUUCGUUACGAGAAAAAGGCUUAUCCCGCGCAACGGAAUGAGAUUCCGUUGACGCAAGAAACAGACCAAGAAACUAAACGGGAAAAAUAUCCCGUUAGUUUCUUUCUCAUUAAGAAACAUAAUAAAAUAAUUAAAUAAAAUAAAAUAAAUAAAGUAAUAAAUAAAUAAAAUAAUAAAUAAUAAAUAAUAAAUAAUAAAAUAUCAAAGUUCAAAUAAAAUAAAUUCAAACUCAAAAUUUU